CCCGUGAUUUUUUUCCCGAAAAAGUUUUCACGUAAAAUCUAUGUGUUCUUUAUUUUAUUUUAUUUUCACAUAUUGGAAGGUGAAAUUUAAGCAUGCCUUGCGAGGAAGUAAUAAGGUAAUUGAUUGUUUAGCAAAUGCGGCAAUAGGAAAGCUAAACCAAGUAGUUCUUUUCUCAAAUCCACCAUAGUAUGUUAUACGGCUACUUGAAGAAUAUGCUUAUUGUAUAGCCCAAAUCUGCCCAGGGCCCAACAACCAGAAUAAAACCAAAUAUUAAACCAAAAAUCCAUAAAAAUAAAAACAAAUUAAUAGUCCAUCAAAGUCCAAACUACAUAACCCAAAACCCAAAAUUAAUACUAACCCUAGCCCAAGACUAUACGGCCCAGCAGGCCCAAAAAAAUUAAAACAUUAGAAACCUAGGGUUUCUCCCCCUCACGCUGCAGCUAGGCCACCAUGCCUCCAUACGCUCCAGCGCUUCAGCAGCCACCGAGCUCCGUACGCCCCAUGCUGAGUGCCACGUACCCCCACAGCUGGCCCCGUACCUCCGUACCUGCAAACCAAAGAAGACAAAUGCACAGUGAAACGAAAACAAAAAGAGUAUUGUAUUUUUCUUUUAUUUUUUUUCCUUCGGCUAUAAGGCCCAAAAAAGAAUCAUCUGUAAGAGGUUACGCACACUGAGAGAAGCAUAUUGAAAAGAAAAAUUCAAAAGCAAUUUAAAAGGUGAUUUCUGUUUUGAGUCUCGGGAUCUUUUGCGUUUUUUAUCUGCUUCUUUCAUUUUUUUAUGUGCAUUUUCUUUUUUUUAUUUGCAUUUAAAAACAAAAAAGGGAAGGGGAGUGCUUACCUUCGCGAAUAGGCCAUCGGAAUCUUCAUCUCCUUUGUCGAAAUCAAAGGUCAAGAUGAGAUUUCAAGGGCUGAGAUUGGUAACCUUUGAACCAAGGUUCUAAGUGUGGUGCGCGCAAGUCGGUAACCACCUAUUACAGUGGUGGCGAUUGAUUUGCUCAAAGUUUUGGGGUUAGCCGAAUGGGGUAAUGGCUUUUAGAUUUUUUUUUACUCUAUUUUUUAGAAAAGGGAAGGAAAUGGUGGCUUUGCUUCAUUAGGGUUAUUUUUUUUUUACUUUUUAAAGGACAUAAAGUGACAACGUUUUGAGCCAAUAUUAAUGGCUUUGAAAUGGCACCAUUUGGUCCUUGAGGGUUAAUUUUAUGGCAAAUCCCUCCCUUUGCGCUGG
rnacentral:lncRNA from 1 species